CUGGUUUCUAGAGAGUGAAUAAGCAAAUGGGUUUAAGAUCAAAAGAGUUCACCUUCUUUGCCUUGCUACUUGUGGUAGUUUUAUUGUUAAAAACUUCAUCUUUUCCUGAUGGGUCAGCUAGAUUUGGAAGCUUCAAAACUGGGUCUGCUUCUCAGUUUCAUCCUGUUGAAUCUCAUGGUGGCCAUGGAGGAGAUAAUAAAGAUCAUGAAGACGCUGAUGAUCCAGUAGGUUUGAGUGAUGAAAAGAGGAAAAUCUACACAGGUCCCAAUCCUUUACACAAUAGAUAGCUAGUCUUAGCUUUGUGUUAUAUAUUUUAUUCACAUGAAACUAUAUAUAUGGGAG
rnacentral:misc_RNA from 1 species